rnacentral:rRNA from 1 species
UACGUAGGGUGCGAGCGUUGUCCGGAAUUACUGGGCGUAAAGAGCUCGUAGGCGGUUUGUCGCGUCGUCUGUGAAAUUCUGCAACUCAAUUGUAGGCGUGCAGGCGAUACGGGCAGACUUGAGUACUACAGGGGAGACUGGAAUUCCUGGUGUAGCGGUGAAAUGCGCAGAUAUCAGGAGGAACACCGGUGGCGAAGGCGGGUCUCUGGGUAGUAACUGACGCUGAGGAGCGAAAGCGUGGGUAGCAAACAGG